rnacentral:rRNA from 1 species
UGGGGAAUCUUGGACAAUGGGCGCAAGCCUGAUCCAGCCAUGCCGCGUGAGUGAAGAAGGCCUUCGGGUUGUAAAGCUCUUUUACCAGGGACGAUAAUGACGGUACCUGGAGAAUAAGCCCCGGCAAACUUCGUGCCAGCAGCCGCGGUAAUACGAAGGGGGCUAGCGUUGUUCGGAAUUACUGGGCGUAAAGCGCACGUAGGCGGAUUGUUAAGUCAGAGGUGAAAUCCCGGAGCUCAACUUCGGAACUGCCUCCAAAACUACAAAUCUGGACCUAAGUAGAGGCAAGUGGAAUUGCGAGUGUAGAGGUGAAAUUCGUAGAUAUUCGCAGGAACACCAGUGGCGAAGGCGACUUGCUGGACUUAUGGUGACGCUGAGACGCGAAAGCGUGGGGAGCAAACAGGAUUAGAUACCCCAGUAGUCCCUGAGCGGGCUGGCAAGGCGCAU